GAUGAACGCUGGCGGCGUGCCUAAUACAUGCAAGUCGAGCGAACGGACGAGAAGCUUGCUUCUCUGAUGUUAGCGGCGGACGGGUGAGUAACACGUGGAUAACCUACCUAUAAGACUGGGAUAACUUCGGGAAACCGGAGCUAAUACCGGAUAAUAUUUUGAACCGCAUGGUUCAAAAGUGAAAGACGGUCUUGCUGUCACCUAUAGAUGGAUCCGCGCUGCAUUAGCUAGUUGGUAAGGUAACGGCUUACCAAGGCAACGAUGCAUAGCCGACCUGAGAGGGUGAUCGGCCACACUGGAACUGAGACACGGUCCAGACUCCUACGGGAGGCAGCAGUAGGGAAUCUUCCGCAAUGGGCGAAAGCCUGACGGAGCAACGCCGCGUGAGUGAUGAAGGUCUUCGGAUCGUAAAACUCUGUUAUUAGGGAAGAACAUAUGUGUAAGUAACUGUGCACAUCUUGACGGUACCUAAUCAGAAAGCCACGGCUAACUACGUGCCAGCAGCCGCGGUAAUACGUAGGUGGCAAGCGUUAUCCGGAAUUAUUGGGCGUAAAGCGCGCGUAGGCGGUUUUUUAAGUCUGAUGUGAAAGCCCACGGCUCAACCGUGGAGGGUCAUUGGAAACUGGAAAACUUGAGUGCAGAAGAGGAAAGUGGAAUUCCAUGUGUAGCGGUGAAAUGCGCAGAGAUAUGGAGGAACACCAGUGGCGAAGGCGACUUUCUGGUCUGUAACUGACGCUGAUGUGCGAAAGCGUGGGGAUCAAACAGGAUUAGAUACCCUGGUAGUCCACGCCGUAAACGAUGAGUGCUAAGUGUUAGGGGGUUUCCGCCCCUUAGUGCUGCAGCUAACGCAUUAAGCACUCCGCCUGGGGAGUACAACCGCAAGGUUGAAACUCAAAGGAAUUGACGGGGACCCGCACAAGCGGUGGAGCAUGUGGUUUAAUUCGAAGCAACGCGAAGAACCUUACCAAAUCUUGACAUCCUUUGACAACUCUAGAGAUAGAGCCUUCCCCUUCGGGGGACAAAGUGACAGGUGGUGCAUGGUUGUCGUCAGCUCGUGUCGUGAGAUGUUGGGUUAAGUCCCGCAACGAGCGCAACCCUUAAGCUUAGUUGCCAUCAUUAAGUUGGGCACUCUAAGUUGACUGCCGGUGACAAACCGGAGGAAGGUGGGGAUGACGUCAAAUCAUCAUGCCCCUUAUGAUUUGGGCUACACACGUGCUACAAUGGACAAUACAAAGGGCAGCGAAACCGUGAGGUCAAGCAAAUCCCAUAAAGUUGUUCUCAGUUCGGAUUGUAGUCUGCAACUCGACUACAUGAAGCUGGAAUCGCUAGUAAUCGUAGAUCAGCAUGCUACGGUGAAUACGUUCCCGGGUCU
rnacentral:rRNA from 1 species